UCGAGGACCUCCGUGCGCUCCCGCGUGCACAC
rnacentral:sRNA from 1 species